rnacentral:rRNA from 1 species
UACUCCAUAUGCCGAGAGGUGAAAGGAAUUUCUGCCUAAGGAGGAGCUCGCGUCUGAUUAGCUAGUUGGUAGGGUAAAGGCCUACCAAGGCGACGAUCAGUAGCUGGUUUGAGAGGAUGAUCAGCCACACUGGGACUGAGACACGGCCCAGACUCCUACGGGAGGCAGCAGUAGGGAAUUUUCCGCAAUGGGCGAAAGCCUGACGGAGCAAUACCGCGUGAGGGAUGACGGCCUGUGGGUUGUAAACCUCUUUUCUCAAGGAAGAAGUUCUGACGGUACUUGAGGAAUAAGCAUCGGCUAACUCUGUGCCAGCAGCCGCGGUAAUACAGAGGAUGCAAGCGUUAUCCGGAAUCACUGGGCAUAAAGCGUCUGUAGGUGGUUUGGUAAGUCUGCUGUUAAAGACUGGGGCUCAACCCCAGAAAAGCAGUGGAAACUGCCAGACUUGAGUGUGGUAGAGGUAAAGGGAAUUCCUAGUGUAGCGGUGAAAUGCGUAGAUAUUAGGAAGAACACCAAUGGCGAAGGCACUUUACUGGGCCAUAACUGACACUGAGAGACGACAGCUAGGGGAGCAAAUGGGAUUAGAUACCCCUGUAGUC